GAUGAACGCUAGCGGCAGGCCUAACACAUGCAAGUCGAGGGGUAGUUGACUUCGGACAAUGAGACCGGCGCACGGGUGCGUAACGCGUAUGCAAUCUACCUUAUACUAAGGGAUAGCCCAGAGAAAUUUGGAUUAAUACCUUAUAGUUAAUAGAGUUGGCAUCGACUUUAUUAUAAAGAUUAAUUGGUAUAAGAUGAGCAUGCGUCCCAUUAGUUAGUUGGUAAGGUAACGGCUUACAAAGACGAUGAUGGGUAGGGGUCCUGAGAGGGAGAUCCCCCACACUGGUACUGAGACACGGACCAGACUCCUACGGGAGGCAGCAGUGAGGAAUAUUGGUCAAUGGGCGCAAGCCUGAACCAGCCAUGCCGCGUGCAGGAUGAAGCAUCUAUGGUGUGUAAACUGCUUUUGUACGGGAAGAAAAAAAGCAACGUGUAGCUUACUGACGGUACCGUAAGAAUAAGGAUCGGCUAACUCCGUGCCAGCCGCCGCCGUAA
rnacentral:rRNA from 1 species